AGAAUUAGAAAAACUAAGGAAAUCACUCACGAAUUAUGAGGAGAACUGGAGCACUGAAAGCAAAGAACUACAAAGGUUGAAAGACUCCUUCCUUGACCAAGG